rnacentral:rRNA from 1 species
UGGUUAAUAUUCCAUACCGACUAUGGAGCGUGAUGGGGGGACGCAUAGGGUUAAGCGAGCUAGCUGAUGGAAGCGCUAGUCUAAGGGCGUAGAUUGGAGGGAAGGCAAAUCCACCUCUGUAUUUGAAACCCAAACAGGCUCUUUGAGUCCUUUUAGGACAAAGGGAGAAUCGCUGAUACCGUCGUGCCAAGAAAAGCCUCUAAGCAUAUCCAUAGUCGUCCGUACCGCAAACCGACACAGGUAGAUGAGAUGAGUAUUCUAAGGCGCGUGAAAGAACUCUGGUUAAGGAACUCUGCAAACUAGCACCGUAAGUUCGCGAUAAGGUGUGCCGCAGCAAUGCGGUCUCAGCAAAGAGUCCCUCCCGACUGUUUACCAAAAACACAGCACUUUGCCAACUCGUAAGAGGAAGUAUAAGGUGUGACGCCUGCCCGGUGCUCGAAGGUUAAGAGGAUGCGUCAGUCGCAAGAUGAAGCGUUGAAUUGAAGCCCGAGUAAACGGCGGCCGUAACUAUAACGGUCCUAAGGUAGCGAAAUUCCUUGUCGGUUAAAUACCGACCUGCAUGAAUGGCGUAACGAGAUGGGAGCUGUCUCAACCAGAGAUUCAGUGAAAUUGUAGUGGAGGUGAAAAUUCCUCCUACCCGCGGCAAGACGGGAAGACCCCGUGGACCUUU